GCACACAUGCUUUCAUAUAAAAUUUUCCCAGAUUAGAGUGAAGUGUCAUGGAGCUUAGUACCUACACUUAAGUCUUAAGUAAUUGAAGGACAAAAUAAUUAAGUCAAGCACUAUUUCUCUUGCCCAUACUUCACCUUUGUUCCGGAGUUUUGCAUAAGUUUUUUCAAAAAUAAAACUCAGAGUUCCAAGCUAUGACUCUCUCAAGUCUCUCUAUAUGUGGUAUUUGUGGACCCUUACCAAACAUGUCACUUACCUAUAGCUAAUGGAAUAUUUAAGUGGAGCUCAUAGGAGUGAAAAACAACUCAUACAUAUGUUGUCUAAUCGAGCUAUGGAUCCGAAGGAACUCAACAUAUAAUUAAAUCAAGAUGUGCAUGUGUGGUGGAGUAAAUGAGAGUGAUGGUAAAAACGUAUAAGUGAUGAUAAAACUUACUUCUCAUUGCUCCUCAUAUUGCUAUCUCUCCUCCUUUUUGAGCUUUGCUUUGGGAGAACGUGGGCUAUCUUUUUCUUUUCUCUUUCUUCUCUUUUUUUUCAGGUGGGUAGUAGAUACCCCUAAUUCUACCGUCGGACAAUUGUCCAUUUUUUCCGCUCAAGUGGGUAUCUUUGUACCCCUAAUUCUACUCCAGACACUUGUCCAUUUUUACAAAUCGUCUCACUCUUUUUCUUUCUUUUUCGAGGUUCCGGGCACUUGCCCCUUUUUAUUUUCUCGCAUAUUUUUGCAUAACCCAUGCCUCUUCUACAUUUAAUCUUUUUAGAGAGAGAGAAUAACAACACUUGGGACAGUGAGUGAUAAUAUUUUUAGCAAUUUUAAUGAAUGGUGGUGGAUGAUGUAGUAGAUGUGUGCAAGUGAAUAUCUUAAUUUAACCACAUGAAAAGCUCCUAAGGGUCUACACAGCUCGAUCAAACUCAAUGUGAAUAGUAAAAGAUGUUAUAGCAAGUAUGGCUGUGGUAGGAAGUUUGUCGUGCUAGGAACUCAUCAUGUGAUUUGUAGGUUUUUAAAAUAAAUCUCCAGAACUUAGUGUAGUAGGAACAAGAUAAACAGCAGCUCAAACUUUAUAUCAUGCCCUUUUCUUACCUACUCUUUGGUUUUAGGUUCGUGCUUCCCAUAGAUAGUAAAUUUUAGUUUUAGUAAUUCCUGGAAGAACUCUUAAUAUAAAAGCUAGGUACUUGAAAGUAAGCAAACAGAGCAACUAUUCAUCAUUUCCAUCAUGCAUCUUUUUGGUCUUUUAUUUAUUUUUAGAGGUUAACACUUAGCAGGAAGAUGAAGCACACUUAUCUACACACUCUUUUUAUUUUGUUUUCAUGUUUAUAAAAUGCAGUAAUUUAAAGCAAGAAAAUAUUUAUUGGGUUUUCUAAGUUUUUGUCUUUAAGAUAAAAUACUAAAACAGAAAAGAAUAAAUAAGAAGGGAAAAUAAAAACUUACUUGAUAAAAUGGGGAGGAACUCCCCCAAUUUGAAUGUGGUUCGGUCUUACCCAAUGUUCCAGAAUUGCAUCAUGGUGGUGAUGUUGUCGUUCAUUGUCGUGGUGUCUUGUCUCUAUUCUUGUGCUACAGUGGCGUGGACCUGGUUCCACUUUUGUUGCUGUUCCAGGAGUCCUCCAUGUUCUGCUUGCGUAUUCUGGAUGUCGAGGAGGGUGUUGUCGGUGCGGGUGAAGAACGCGCCGGCCACUUGGUAGUAGUCGUUCGUGAAAGCGUAAGAGGCGUUGGAGUACCGUCCUGCAUCGAAUUGGGGCUAGGAUCUAGACCCUGAAGCUCCAUAUGGAUC
rnacentral:lncRNA from 1 species